AGUGAACGCUGGCGGUAGGCCUAACACAUGCAAGUCGAACGGCAGCACAGUAAGAGCUUGCUCUUACGGGUGGCGAGAGGGGGACGGGUGAGGAAUACAUCGUAAUCUACUUUUUCGUGGGGGAUAACGUAGGGAAACUUACGCUAAUACCGCAUAUGACCUACGGGUGAAAGCAGGGGAUCUUCGGACCUUGCGCGGAUGAAUGAGCCGAUGUGGGAUUAGCUAGUUGGCGGGGUAAAGGCCCACCAAGGCGGCGAUCCGUAGCUGGUCUGAGAGAAUGAUCAGCCGCACUGGAGCUGAGACAGGGUCCAGAGUCCUACGGGAGGCAGCAGUGGGCAAUAUGGGGCAAUGGGCGGAAGCCUGAUCCAGCCAUACCGCGUGGGUGAAGAAGGCGUCGGGGUUGUGAAGCCCUUCUUUUGGGAAAGAAAAGCAUCAGGUUAAUACCCCGCUGUUCUGACGGUACCCAAUGAAGAAGCACCGGCUAACUACGUG
rnacentral:rRNA from 1 species